UUUUCUCGUCUUUCAAUUGCACACCCUCUCAUCUUUGUUUCUGUCCUCUGCAGGUGGUGGCGGCGAUGGGCUCUCGGUGAGGGAGCUUGGGAAGUUGGCAAAUGGAUCUCGGUACCCUCCCUUCUGUUUUGUUACUGAAAGUCCAUUUUUCCAUAUCUAUUUUGUUUUUGUAUUUCUCUCUUCCCUUCUCUAUGUUGGUCUUUUUCCCAUUUUUUUUCUUUCUUUUUAAUAAAAUGGCCAAAUAAGCUAUAUGUAUUUCUGAUUGUUUGUUUUGGAUUUAGACAGAGUUGGAAGUUUUACAAUAGGUUUUCUUUCAUUUGUAAAUCCGGUGUUCUUGAUUUUCUUAGUUGUUUGAAGAUUUUUUUUUCUGGUUUUGUUGCUUGUUAAUUAGGAAUAUAUAUUUUGAUUUGUUUUUUGAAAUUGAUUUGAUAAUCUGAUAUGGGAAAUUAGUAAGGAAAGAUGCUUUCAUGAUUCUUGAUGGUGGUUUUGUACCAAGUCAGCUCAAAUUAUAUAUUUCGCUUCUUUGUUUCUUUGAGUAUUUCUUCAUUUUCUUGUUGCCAAGGUUAUUAUUUUCAAUAACUCAGAUUUUAUGGCUGUUAAUGGUUAUCAUAGCAGGAAAAAACUGCAUUUCUCACCCAUUUGUGAAUUAAUUCAAGCGAAAUAGAUGGUUAGAUAAAUGAAAUAGAAGCUGCUCGUGCUCACUUUGGUAGAAAAUUUUCAAACUUGGCAUUUUCUUUGUAUAGCUCUCUCUAUAAAAUUGUCUACUAUAUUUAUAUCUAUGUUAAUGAAGCAACUAGUAAAUUGUUGAAACAAUAAAUUGCUGCUAGUGUAGAUAUUUCAGCUUAGUAGCUUACAUAAGUACCCAUGAUUUCUCUCAUCACUUGUUCUUUUUCUGCAACUCAUAAGAUUUAACCCUAAAAAUUAGAAUGGGUAAAUCAUUUGCUUUGAGCCUUAGUUAUGUAUUAGUGUUAGUGUUUUGUUUGUUUGUUUCUUUAACUUUUAGUUUUGCUUUUUUGAUUUAUUCAGAUUUUUCUUUCAAAGCUCCAUUUUCCCUUUCCUAUGUUUUUUUCAUUUCCUUCUAUUUUUUCUUUCGACUGUUUUUUAUUUUUUUCUUUAACAUCUUUAGUGCAUUUUGCUACUGGUUUAAUGACAUAGAAUAUGUAUUUUGCUAUUGGCUUUGGUGUAUUUUGUUACUAGUUUGUGUUGUUUUUUUACUGCUACUGUUUGUCUAUUUUGGUACUACUAUUGGUCUAUUUUUUUAAAUUUGUUAAAUUAAUCAUGCCACAAUUACAUAGGUCCAAUUACUUUAACAAUUUCCUUGAAUCUAACUGGGCAUUCUUUUUAGGUUUUGCUAAAGUACUUUCUAACUUUAUUAUUGUUUUUGAGUCAUUUUGUCAUAUAUAUUAUCUUCAUUUUCUGCAGGUUAGCAGUGGUUUAUUUAACAUUAGAAUUCAUACUACUUGUUUCACAUGGUUUCUAUUUUAUUGUUUGAUCAAUAAUUGUUACCUCAAUUUUAAAUUGGUAACUUCUAAGUUAUGUGGCCUUCCUAUGUGAAUGUUAUGUGCUAAGAAAUUGAAUGUCAUCAUUAGAGUAUAUAUUCCCUUUGAAUAAUCAUAGUUUAGUCCUAUGAAACAAACAUAAGAGGUUUUGUCUUUAGGCUUUUAAGAGAUCAAUACAGGAGGGAGUUUGUUUACAAGCAUAUAACAUGGAGACUUUAAAUAUAUUCUAUUCCAUAUGCAGUGUAGCAAGUUCCUGUUUUAAAAUUACUCACGAAGUUGUUAGUUUCUUCUGUAGUUUUUUUUUUUCUUUUUCAGAUUUCAAAUUAAUAUCAAGAAAGUGUUUUGAAUAUUGAUUAUAUAUAUUUGUUUCUAAUUGAGAUAACACAGAGAAAAUUAAAACUAGAGAGGUUGUAUGCUCGCUAAUUCAAACACUCACAGGGCCUCUCUUUCUCACGCUCUCCUCUUUCCCUCGCCUCUCUCAAAUUCUCACCUCACUGAAGCCUUUCUCGGAGUAGCUCAAGAGUGGGUAUAAGUCUUGGUUUCUCCCCUUGUUGCUCAUUUGGUUCUUCGAUCCCCUAUUUCACAAUCAGUUAAAACUUUUCUGGAUAGCUGCCUCCAAGAGAAGAGGCAAGAUACUUUGUGUGCAAGCAAUCUUUCACGGGAGACUCUUACUUUUGUUUGCAUUUUGCAAGUGGU